rnacentral:rRNA from 1 species
UACGUAGGGGGCUAGCGUUGUUCGGAAUCACUGGGCGUAAAGGGCUCGUAGGCGGCGCGUUAAGUCCGGGGUGAAAGCCUGUGGCUCAACCACAGAAUGGCCUUCGAUACUGGGACGCUUGAGUAUGGUAGAGGAUGGUGGAACUGCGAGUGUAGAGGUGAAAUUCGUAGAUAUUCGCAAGAACACCGGUGGCGAAGGCGGCCAACUGGACCAUUACUGACGCUGAGGAGCGAAAGCGUGGGGAGCAAACAGG